rnacentral:rRNA from 1 species
GGUGAGUAACACGUGGGCAAUCUGCCCUUCACUCUGGGACAAGCCCUGGAAACGGGGUCUAAUACCGGAUACCACUCCUGCCUGCAUGGGUAGGGGUUGAAAGCUCCGGCGGUGAAGGAUGAGCCCGCGGCCUAUCAGCUUGUUGGUGGGGUAAUGGCCCACCAAGGCGACGACGGGUAGCCGGCCUGAGAGGGCGACCGGCCACACUGGGACUGAGACACGGCCCAGACUCCUACGGGAGGCAGCAGUGGGGAAUAUUGCACAAUGGGCGAAAGCCUGAUGCAGCGACGCCGCGUGAGGGAUGACGGCCUUCGGGUUGUAAACCUCUUUCAGCAGGGAAGAAGCGAAAGUGACGGUACCUGCAGAAGAAGCGCCGGCUAACUACGUGCCAGCAGCCGCGGUAAUACGUAGGGCGCAAGCGUUGUCCGGAAUUAUUGGGCGUAAAGAGCUCGUAGGCGGCUUGUCACGUCGGAUGUGAAAGCCCGAGGCUUAACCUCGGGUCUGCAUUCGAUACGGGCUAGCUAGAGUGUGGUAGGGGAGAUCGGAAUUCCUGGUGUAGCGGUGAAAUGCGCAGAUAUCAGGAGGAACACCGGCGGCGAAGGCGGAUCUCUGGGCCAUUACUGACGCUGAGGAGCGAAAGCGUGGGGAGCGAACAGGAUUAGAUACCCUGGUAGUCCACGCCGUAAACGUUGGGAACUAGGUGUUGGCGACAUUCCCACGUCGUCGGNGNCGCAGCUAACGCAUUAAGUUCCCCGCCUGGGGAGUACGGCCGCAAGG